UACGGGGGGGGCAAGCGUUGUUCGGAAUUACUGGGCGUAAAGGGCUCGUAGGUGGCCAACUAAGUCAGACGUGAAAUCCCUCAGCUUAACUGGGGAACUGCGUCUGAUACUGGAUGGCUUGAGUUUGGGAGAGAGAUGCGGAAUUCCAGGUGUAGCGGUGAAAUGCGUAGAUAUCUGGAGGAACACCGAUGGCGAAGGCAGCCCCCUGGGUCAAGAUUGACGCUCAUGCACGAAAGCGUGGGGAGCAAACAGG
rnacentral:rRNA from 1 species